rnacentral:tRNA from 1 species
CCCGCACAAGAGCAACGGACUUUUAAUCCGUGGGUCGCGGGUUCGAAUCCUGCUGGGCCCA